GACACUCUUUCGCUAUUUGGUGAACACGUACAAAUCAGGUACUGGUGAAAAGUUGAAUAAUAAAAGUAAUCUGAGUUGGAUCAUCGAUUCGGGUGCUUCCCAACAUAUGACAGGACCGCACCAUGAGGAUGAUGAUUGGAGUGGGUGAACAAUGUAAGGGGCUUUACUAUUUGAAGUCGGCAGCAUUAUCCAAGCAUGCAAGGCUAGUCAUGUAGAUUCCUUUGAAUUAUGGCAUAUGAGGAUGGGGCAUCCGUAUACAAAAAUAGUAAAAUCUCUUCCUUAUAUUAAACUGAGUAAUAAUUUGGUGAAGAAUAAA